rnacentral:rRNA from 1 species
UUGACCUCGGAUCAGGUAGGGAUACCCGCUGAACUUAAGCAUAUCAAUAAGCGGAGGAAAAGAAACCAACAGGGAUUGCCCUAGUAACGGCGAGUGAAGCGGCAACAGCUCAAAUUUGAAAUCUGGCUCUUUCAGAGUCCGAGUUGUAAUUUGCAGAGGGCGCUUUGGUGUUGGCAGCGGUCCAAGUUCUUUGGAACAGGACGUCACAGAGGGUGAGAAUCCCGUACGUGGUCGCUAGCCCUCACCGUGUAAAGCCCCUUCGACGAGUCGAGUUGUUUGGGAAUGCAGCUCUAAAUGGGAGGUAAAUUUCUUCUAAAGCUAAAUACUGGCCAGAGACCGAUAGCGCACAAGUAGAGUGAUCGAAAGAUGAAAAGCACUUUGGAAAGAGAGUCAAAUAGCACGUGAAAUUGUUGAAAGGGAAGCGCUUGCAGCCAGACUUGCCUGUAGUUGCUUAUCCGGACUUUUGUCCGGUGCACUCUUCUGCGGGCAGGCCAGCAUCAGUUUGGGCGGUUGGAUAAAGGUCUCUGUCAUGUACCUCCUUUCGGGGAGGCCUUAUAGGGGAGACGACAUGCAACCAGCCCUGGACUGAGGUCCG